rnacentral:pre_miRNA from 1 species
AAGUCGGACGUCAGAAUUGGAGGAAAUUAAAUAAAUCAUUUAGUAGCAUUGUUUAGUGUGUUUUGUUUAAUUUCCUCCAAUAUCUUAUAUUUGGCUU